UACACGACCGUACCGCAAACCGACACUGGUGCGCGAGAUGAGUAUUCUAAGGCGCUUGAGAGAACUCAGGAGAAGGAACUCGGCAAAUUGACACCGUAACUUCGGAAGAAGGUGUGCCUUUAGUAGGUGAACCUGUACAAGGGGAGCCCAAUGAGGUUGCAAAAAAUCGGUGGCUGCGACUGUUUAAUAAAAACACAGCACUCUGCAAACACGAAAGUGGACGUAUAGGGUGUGACGCCUGCCCGGUGCUGGAAGAUUAAAUGAUGGGGUGCAAGCUCUUGAUUGAAGUCCCAGUAAACGGCGGCCGUAACAAUAACGGUCCUAAGGUAGCGAAAUUCCUUGUCGGGUAAGUUCCGACCUGCACGAAUGGCGUAACGAUGGCCACACUGUCUCCUCCUGAGACUCAGCGAAGUUGAAAUGUUUGUGAUGAUGCAAUCUCCCCGCGGAAAGACGGAAAGACCCCAUGAACCUUUACUGUAGCUUUGUAUUGGACUUUGAACAGAUCUGUGUAGGAUAGGUGGGAGGCUUUGAAGUGUGGUCGCUAGAUCGCAUGGAGCCAACGUUGAAAUACCACCCUGGUGUGUUUGAGGUUCUAACCUAGGCCCGUAAUCCGGGUCGGGGACAGUGCAUGGUAGGCAGUUUGACUGGGGCGGUCUCCUCCCAAAGCGUAACGGAGGAGUUCGAAGGUACGCUAGGUACGGUCGGACAUCGUGCUAAUAGUGCAAUGGCAUAAGCGUGCUUAACUGCGAGACUUACAAGUCGAGCAGAUGCGAAAGCAGGACAUAGUGAUCCGGUGGUUCUGUAUGGAAGGGCCAUCGCUCAACGGAUAAAAGGUACUCUGGGGAUAACAGGCUGAUACCGCCCAAGAGUUCAUAUCGACGGCGGUGUUUGGCACCUCGAUGUCGGCUCAUCUCAUCCUGGGGCUGUAGCCGGUCCCAAGGGUAUGGCUGUUCGCCAUUUAAAGAGGUACGUGAGCUGGGUUUAAAACGUCGUGAGACAGUUUGGUCCCUAUCUUCCGUGGGCGCUGCAGAUUUGAGGAAGCCUGCUCCUAGUACGAGAGGACCGGAGUGGACACACCUCUGGUGUAUCGGUUGUCACGCCAGUGGCAUUGCCGAGUAGCUAUGUGUGGAAGAGAUAACCGCUGAAAGCAUCUAAGCGGGAAACUCGUUUCAAGAUGAGAUCUGCCGGGGCCUUGAGCCCCCUAAAGAGUCGUUCAAGACCAGGACGUUGAUAGGUCGGGUGUGGAAGCGCAGUAAUGCGUUAAGCUAACCGAUACUAAUUGCUCGUGCGGCUUGACUU
rnacentral:rRNA from 1 species